GGCGCGGCCAUGUUAAACCCCUGGCUCAGGGAGACUAACGACCUGGAAAGUCUCGCGAUAAAGGCGAGUUAGGGAUCGCGCGAACUUCCGCGAUAGCACCGAGGGUCUGGCCGCCGGGGCAUUGGAAUGGGCGGGUUGUAGCACCGGAAGAGGAGGGAAGUUGAGGAGUCCGGUUCUCAGAAAAGGAAGUUUGAGUCACUGGCUGCGGUGUUGGGAGUAAUGGCGUCGUGUAUGGUCUGCGGCUGAUCGUUCGUAGAGCUCUCUAUACUGAUAUCUGCUGCUUCUGAAGAGCAAUGAGAGAAAAUGGCCAAGUCUCAGGGAUUUGUGUCAUUCCAAGAUGUGACUGUGAACUUCAAUUGGGAGGAAUGGCAGCAGCUGGACUAUGCUCAAAGAAACCUGUACAGGGAUGUGAUGCUGGAGAACUAUAGAAACCUUGUUUCAGUGGGUAAGGACAUCUUCCCUCACCUAUUAGUCACCUAUUUGCUGUAUAACAAUUAUUCCAAAAUUUAGUGGUUUAAAGUAAACAUUUUUUACAAACAAUUUCUGUAGGUCAGGAAUUCGAGCUGAGUGAUUCUGGCUUGUGGUCUCCCAUGUGAUUGUAGUGAGAUGUUAGCAGGGGCUGCAUGCAUUUGAAAGCUUGAAUGGGACUGUAGGAUCCAU
rnacentral:lncRNA from 1 species